rnacentral:rRNA from 1 species
UACGAAGGGACCUAGCGUAGUUCGGAAUUACUGGGCUUAAAGAGCACGUAGGUGGUUAAAAAAGUUGAUGGUGAAAUCCCAAGGCUCAACCUUGGAACUGCCAUCAAAACUUUUUAACUAGAGUAUGAUAGAGGAAAGUGGAAUUUCUAGUGUAGAGGUGAAAUUCGUAGAUAUUAGAAAGAACACCGAUUGCGAAGGCAGCUUUCUGGAUCAUUACUGACACUGAGGUGCGAAAGCAUGGGUAGCCAAGAGG